rfam:Brassica napus, WGS project CCCW01000000 data, contig: 4471
GGAAGUUAAGAGACGAUUUCUUAAUUUUUAACUAAAAAAGCUAAGAACCGAUUUUUAAAUAAGGAUUUUAAGAACCGGUACUUAACUUUUUUAGUUAAAAAUUAAGAAACCGUUUUUUAAUUUCC